UGUUUCUUUAGAUAGUUCAGUAGCUUGUUGUGGGACAGAGAAUGCCUUUGUGACACCCAUGUGUAGUAGAUGCUUGUUUUCCUUUAAAACACACUGUGUGUUUCUUUAAUAUCUAGCAUAAUAUUCAUUGUUAUAUCCUUUUUUUUAAAAAAAGAAUGUGUGUUUUUAAAUGUCAGCGUAGUAACUGCUUCUUCAUCCCUUACCACUAUGUGUGGUAUGCCCGUGUUAGGCUUAGAAUAAAAUAUCAUUUGUAUACCGUUGUUCAUAUGCCUUAUACUAGCUAUAAACACACUGUAUGCCUUUUUCAGUUUUAGUACAGCAUAACAUAUGUUUUUCUUCUCACAUCUAUUCUCCCCUUUUAGUAUGUGGUAGUUGUAUAUGUAUCGCUAAGACAUUCAGACAUUAAUAACUUGUAUGUUUACAGUGACUGUUCCUGGAUAAGGCUCGCUGUGUCGUGUGUGUGUGUGUGUGUGUGUGUGUGUGUGUGUGUGUGUGUCUGUGUGGGUGAAUGGACACCGUUUGGUGUGUGGAACUAACACCUUUCGUUGUAUGUAACUGCAACAAAUAAACAAUUGUUUUGGCCAUAUGA